UUUUUUUUCAUUUACAUUUUCCCUCAAUUAUUUAAAAUCUUUGGUGUUAUGUGGAGAAUUUGAUUUAUAUUUUCGUAUUUCACAAUUUCAUCGUUAAUUUUUUUUUUUUUUUGUUAUUAUGCUUUCGGUAUGUCGGAACGUGGAAAAGUAAUUAUUAUCUUGGUGGAGACUAAUGGAAUGAUGACACGUGUAAUUUGCUAUUGGUAUGUGAAGGGGAUUCAUAUGUGAAUCUGUUUAUGUAAAUUCAACGCUAAAAAUAUUUCAUUAUUCUUUCGUCUAAACAUAAUCUUACAGAUCGCUUUUGCAGUUCAGUCCAAGAAAAUUAUGUUUAGGAUCAGCAAUUAUAUAAUAGAACUCAUGGUGUUGCUUUGCUUCAGAUCAAAAUAUAUUAAGUUUACGUAAUGUGUGUAGUUAUUUGUCAAAUGAAAGCUGACUCAAUAAAA
rnacentral:lncRNA from 1 species